GGGGUCUCACUAUGAGAAGGAAACACUUAUAAUGUUAAAUGAACAAAGCAGGAUUUGCCAACAAAAGAGAUAAGCGAACUCCAUGCUGCUUUUCAGGGACAACUUUGCUGCAAGCUCUCAGAAGGCUCGCUGUACACCUGGCCUGUGCUGGACACUGGGGAGUAGCUGAGGAAGCCAUGCUCUGUGUGCUCAAGAAGGUGGCCCAGGUAGGAUGGAUAGGGAAGCAAUUUCAGUGCAAUGAAUGUUACUGCUGAAGAGUAUUUGGAGAAAAGGGACUCAAGGAAAGCUCCUGGACAGAGCACUUCCUAAAUUAAAUCUCAGAGAGCCAGUAGGUGUUGGCCUGGAGGGAUGAUAGAGAAGGGGAAUCCACAUGGAGGGAACAGUGUAUGGGAAGGCAUGAGGACCAGAGAGAGGAAAGCACAGUCAAGAGCAGGAGCAAGCUCAGCACAGCUGCAGUGCUGUGUGGGGUGUGGAGACAUAGGAGGGGAAGCCUGAGAGGUCAGUAAGAGCCAGACCACCAGUCUUUCCUGGCCAGCUGAGAAGCUUGGAAAUAGUGCAACCUAGGCUUGGCCACAGUAGAGCAGGCCUGUAUUGCUUUCUGACAGACGGACACUUCACAAGUGGAGGGGAAGGGGACAGCACGUACCCACCAGGGGCCAGAGGAUGAGCCUUUUGGAAAGUCCUUCUGGUUCUCCUUUCCUCUGUCUCACAGGCUGGAGUGCAGUGGUGCAAUCAUGGCUCACUGGAGCCUUGAACUUCUGGACUCAAGCAGUCCUCCUGCCUUGGCCUCCCAAAGUGUUGGGAUUACAGGCAUGAGCCACUGCACCUGGCUCUUCCUGGGGCUUCUAUCCAAAUGUAAGGUUUGUGCUGGGACCACGUGUAGGAAAUUGCCACCUUGUGGGUAAUGCUGGAAUUACAGAUCUAGAAAUGAUGAUGUUUCUUAUUUCUGAAUUCAAUAUGUAUUUCCUAAUAAUUACAAGCCACAGUGCUGGAAUAAGGAGCCGUCUAUCAGGUGGAGAGAACAGAAAUGCAUACAGAAGUCAGUGAAUGUUCAGAGGUUUGCCUGAAGCAAUAGGUUGGUGAGGGAGGUCAUGGAAAGCUUCAGAGAUGACACCUGCACUGAGUCAGGUAAAAAGGGGUCUUUGGGGGCCAUAUUCACUUUCCAUCCUGCAGCACAGAAUAGGAAAGGACUCAUUCAAAGUCACACAGCUCUUCAGGGCAGAGCUGGGGCAAGCACCCAAGUUUCUGGGUAUGUCAGCCCAGAGCUCUUUCUUAUACAUGGUUGGCCUUCAGUUUAAAUGGGUCCCACUCCUGGUGCUCUAAAAAUGGCCUUUGCAGAAUCUGAUCUUCUGCUCCUGCCUGUUCCCAGGCCCCAUCAUGGUAAUUGGUCACAGCCAGCUUUCUGAUGCAGUAAUCUCUUCCUUUGUGAUCUGAAUUCUGUCUGUGUGAAAUUGCAAAACACUAAAACUCUCCCUAGGGUGAAUACUGUGCUGAAGCCAGGAUCUUGUCCUCCCUGGGAAGAAGAAACAAGGUGUGUCCCAAGAGCAUUUAUCCUCAGGGACUAGCAUAGUCCUUGGUACAUAAGUACUUUGUAAAUAUUUGUGAUGUGAAUGAAUGAGUGAAGACAGGGGAGGUGGAUAGGCCUGAGAGGUUAGUCCCAGCUCUCCUGUGGGCUUAUCCAGAGUUGAGUUUUCUCUAGAAUAGUCUGGAAAGAUUAGUUGGGGAUAGAUUACAAAGGUCGCUGAAUGCCCAGCUAAAAAGAUUGUCUUUCUUCUACUAGCAGAGGGAAAGCAAACCUGUUAGAGAACAGGGAAGGAGCAGGAUCAGAAUAUAGGUUGCUUUCAUUCCUUGUCAAAGAGAGAAAAAUAGUCCCAAGUCAAAACUCUAUCUGUCCCAGAAAGCCAUUGAUAUUACUUUGUGAACCCAAAAAUAUCGGAGACAGGUUUUAGUCAGUUUAGAAAGUUUAUUUUGCCAGGGUUAAGGACACACUUGUGAUACAGCCUGAGGAGGUGCUGAUGACAUGUGCCCAAGGUGGUCAGGGCACAGCUUGGUUUUAUACAUUUUAGGGAGAGAUGAGACAUCAAUCAAUAUGUGUAAGAAGUACAUUGGUUCUGUCUGGUGUGGUGGGACAAGCCAAAGUGGGGGCUUCUCGGUCAUAGGUAGAUAAGAGACAAAUGGUUGCAUUCUUUUGAGUGUCUGAUUAGCCUUUCCCCGAAUACACAGUUUACAUGUGAGAGGAGGGUAGAGGAAUAGUCACUUAUCCCUUAGUCUGGCUCAGUGAAUCUGCACUUUUACAUAAAUAGGGUAGAGGAAGCAAUCAGAUAUGCAUUUGUCUGGGGUGAACAAAGGGAUAACUUUAGGUUCUGUCUGUCCUUUGUACUGCACGUGUGAAGAUAAGCCAUCAAUUUACAUAGCCAAGGUGAAAUUCAACAGAACUGUUUUAGGGUAAAGACCCUGAGGCCCACAGAGAAUUUCCUUGUGGGUAAAUUAUGAGAAAGGUAUGUAGCUUUUUUUUUAAUUGACGCUUUGUAGCUAUCUUAUUUAGAAAUAAAAUGGGAAGUAGAUUUGCCUGACUUAGUUCCCAGCUUGACUUUUCCCUUUAGCUUAGUGAGGGUCCGAGAUAGAUUUUCCUUUCAUAACUUCAUGAAGAAAUUGCAUUAGGUCUUCUAGAUAUCUGAGUUUUUUUGUUUCUAAAGUUAGUAAUUAAACCAUAUCUCUAGAGAAUAACUAGAAGCUGGCCUGUGAUAAGCUUACAACACUCAGGAAACAAGCACAACCUUUGUGAUACAGUGUUGAAUUUCCUUCUGUGACAUCACCCAGGCUGUGAACCCUGCUACAUACAGGGCCCCAGUACAGUAACUCUUCCUAACCUGGGUCUGGUGCAGUCAGUAAUCUCUUUCCUCACUCUCUGCCAACUGCAGCACCAUUGCAUUAACUCCUGGAAAAAAGUCUGUAGUGGAGUGCUACAGGGCUCUGUUGUGGUCACUGUUUUUAUCGGUAACCUAGAUGAACUCAGAGUAUUCAAAUGCCCCCAAAGAAAUUAAUAUACGUUGGAUAGGAAAAGCAAUGUUCAAAAAGGCUUGCAUAGCUUAGCAUGGUGAAGAGAAAUCAAAUGUUGAAAUGUCCUGGAGAUACAUGUCAAGUUCUAUGUUUGAGUUCAACACAAAAAUGAGAAAGCCCAAGAGAAGGGAAAUGAAAUCUAUCAUGCUGGUUUCAAAAGGGUCCAAGCCUGGAGCAUGACAGCCCGUCAGAAGUAAAUCUUUACUACUAUGAACCAAAUUUUCCAGAAUUUAAGCAUUUUAAAACCAAUGUCCAGAAUUUAAGCAUUUUAAAGCCAAUGUCUUAGCUUUUUAUUUUCCCCCACUUUAAGAUGGCUGCCUUCCCAAUGUCCCCAGAGUGGUUAGUGACAACUCAGUAAUGACUCUUCCUUAAUGGUAUGAAGAGAGGAAUUGUAAGAUUAUGAGGAAACUUGCCACAAUCAUCCAAGAAUUUAAAAUAUCCAUUUGAAGUCUGGGAAGUGGAGCCAGGAAGCACGUUGUGGAUGGGCACUCCUGGAAGAGAUAGCAUCUCCGUGUGCCUAGAAGGAGAAGAGCUUUGCAAUUCUUUUCUAUGAACCAUGUGACGAAGAUGUACCAAGAACUGCUUCUAUCAGUGAAGGAGACAGCCUGGUUUCAGAGGAAAUGCAUUUUACAGUGAUUCUUUGCUUUUAGACAUUCAGCAAAAGAGUGCUGUGACGAGAACUGGGCAGAACAUCAGCUCAUCAGAAGCAGUGACAUCCAAGAGCCCGGAGGAGCCUGAAGAACAAUUGAGAGAAGCCUCCUUUGCCAACGCAUUGCCCACCAGGGCUGCACGUGGUACCCCUGCUCCAAGAUGCUUCCCAAAAACACCAGUCUAUGUCCUCAAUGUUCCUAUAAAUUCUUGGGCUGGUGGCAUCACCAUAUCAUCAUCCUCCUCAUCAUCAUCACAGUUGUGAUCACCAUCAGAGGCUGAUAUUUAUUCAAAUUACUAUGUACCAGGUAUUUGGCUAAAUAAUUUAUAUGUUAUUUAAUUUUUACAAUGAAGUAGAUAUUAUAAGUAUUCCUGAUUUAGAGAUACACAUUGCAUACUGUUUAUAAUCUGUUCGACUCAUCUUCCUCUCUCAACAGUAAGUUCAUUGAGGCCUUCAGUACAUCCUUUAUCUUGUAUCUUUAUAUCCCUGGCCUUAAGAAUAGUGAUCAGUACAUGUAGUUAUACUCCAAAUAUUUGAAUGAAUGUUGGUUUAGUCUAUUUUGAUUUAAUUUCUAGACAUAGAUUUUAUAUGAGCAUUUAAAAAUAGAGUGACACUUUGAUUCCUAUGCAAAGCCACAACAUUUCUGGAACAAUAAUUUAUUUUAUUAAAUCCACUAAAAUAUUUGUCAAAUUAAAAUAAAAUCCCUCUUGGGUUUUAGUUCUCUGUUCUCUAUGUGUAUUUAAUUCAAAUUGGAUGAAAGACUGAUAAUCAUGGAUUUCUGCUAUUGAAGAAAAUGGAAUAAAAGACUUCUUGGCAAAAUAGUCAGUUUUUUAACUUGCAAAUUAAAUUAUAGUGUAGAUUUGCUAUCUUGCCCCCAUUAACUUCUUGCCCUCUUUGGCUAUCUGAGUCCCGUGGGGAUCAGAUUUCCCGUAGCCCAGUAUAACAUGCUAUUGAUCACCCCUUCUGCUUUGCCACUUUCACCUUCCAGUACAAAUUGGCCUGUGUCAAGUGGAGGAGGAACGUGGAGGGGGAAGAUAAUUAAUUUACCCUCACAUUGAAAUUAGAUGCAUUCUAAAAGGAGGCAAUCAUCUGGGCAUGGAUCCCUGAGGAUCUACCAAUUUUGGGUUGUAAAUUCCUCAGCUAACUUAUUCUAAAGUAUCAGGAGCAUAAGUAAAUACAUUUUUCAUACAUCUGUGUGUACUGGGGUGAAAAGGAUUGGGUGGUACCCUAAAGUAGAACCUAGCAGUGACCUUUUCAAAGUUUUUACACAGUUUUAGUCACAUGGUGUCUUGAAGUUGAAAUUAUGUACUCUCAAAAUAUUGGAAACUUCUUUGAAACCGUGGAAACAGCAUGUGAGAUGGGGGAUGACUGGACAGCAGAAUAAGACCUUCCUAUUAUGACUAUUGUUCUUUCACUGUGGAUAUCUAAAAGUGUAUCUUCAUUAAGUCACUUUCUUCUAGUUAUAGCUUUGAGAACAUCAGUGCUUUUAGAAUCAAAGAUAUUGUCACAAAAGGAAGCGCAAGCCAUGGAACUGUUUAUAAUAUGAUUAUAAACAAUUCUUUCUCUAAUACUUACACUUCUGCUUUCAUGCUAAAUAAUGUAUUUGAAGAUUUGAGUCAGUAAUCUUCCUAAGCAGAGUGACAGGAGCCUCCAAGGCAUAUAUACAAGGCUGUUUCACUAUUCUGCAGCAUUUCAGAGUGCCUGUUAUUUAAUGCAAUACAGAUAAAUUAACAUGCAAUAAAGCUUCCAGUAGUGAUACUAAUUUACAACAAUGGUAGAACAAAAAUGUUGUUAAUAAUUGUAAUUCUUCCAGAGGGUUUACUUCUCACUUCAUUCUAUUAUGGCAGUGAAAAUGUGGUUAGGGAGUAAUGGAGUACCGUUCUCCAGAACCCAGUAGCAGUCCUCUUAGCGUUAUACUUGUGGUGAAUCCCUAAAUUUUAAAAUACUCCCUGAACUUUUCUUUUUCUUUCUUUUUUUUUUUUUGUUGUUGUUGUUGCUGUUGUUGUUGUUGUUGUGUCUCUGCCAAGUUUUGGAAUCAAGAUGAUGCUGGCCUCAUAGAAUGAGUUAGGGAGGAGUUUCUCCUGAAUUUUUUGCAGUGGUUUCAGUAGGAAUGGUAUUAGCUUUUCUUUAUACAGAUGAUAAAAUUAAGUUCUGAAUCCAUCUGGUCCCAGGCUUUUUUUUGUUUGGCAGGCUUUUUAUUACUGAUUCAAUUUCAGUACUCAUUAUUGGCCAGUUCAGGGAUUCCAUUGCUUCCUGGUUCAGUCUUGGGAGGUUAUAUGUGUCCAGGAAUUAAUCAAUUCUUCAAGGUUUCUAGCUUGUGUCCAUAGUGGUGUUCAUAGUAGUUUCUGAGGGUUUUUUUUUUUUUCCUGUGGGGUCAGUGGUAACAUCCCGUUUGUCAUUUUUGAUUGCAUUUAUUUUGGAUCUUCUGUUUUCUUUAUUAGUAUAGAUAGUGGUCUAUCUAUCUUAAUAAAUUUUUUCAGAAAACAAACUCCAGGAUUUGCUGAUCUUUUAUAUGGUUUUCACUUCUCAAUUUCCUUCAGUUCAGCUUUGAUUUUGGUUACUUCUUGUCUUCUGCUAGCUUUGGGCUUGGUUUGCUCUUGUUUCUCUAAUUCCUGUCGUUGUGAUGUUAGGGUGGUAAUUUGAGAUCUUUCUAAUUAUUUGAUGUGGGGGUUUAGUGUUAUAAACUUCCCUCUUAACACUGCCUUAGCUGUAGGACUGGGCAAAAAUUUCAUGACAAAGACAAAAACAAAACUUGACAAAUGGGACCUAAUUAAACUAAGGGACUUCUGCACAGCGAAAGAAACUAUCAACAGAGUAAACAGUCUACCAAAUGGGAGAAAAUAUUUGCAAAUUAUGCAUACCACAAACGUCUAAUAUCCAGAAUCUAUAAGGAAUUUAAACAAAUUCACAAGCAAAACAUAAACAACCCAAUUAAAAACUGGGCAAAUGACAUGAGCAGACACUUUUCAGAAGAAGACAUACACAUGGUCAAUAAGCAUAUGCAAUAAUGCUCAACAUCACUAAGCAUUAGAUAAAUGCAAACCAAAACCACAGUGAGAUAUCAUCUCACACCAGUCAAAACGGCUAUUACUGAAAAGUCAGAAAAUAGCAGAUGCUGGUGCAGUUACAGAGAAAAUGGAAUGCUUAUACGCUGCUGGUAGGAAUAUAAGUUAGUUCAGCCCUUGUGGAAAGCAGUUUGGCAAUUUUUGAAAGAACUUAAAACAGAAUUACCAUUUGGUCCAGUUAUCCCAUGACUCAGUAUAUACCCAAAGAAAUAUAAAACGUUCUACCUUAAAGACACAUGCAUGCAUGUGUUCACUGCAGCACUAUCCACAAUAGCAAAGACAUGGAUCAACUUAAAUGCCCAUACUUGAUAGACUGGAUAAAGAAAAUACGGUACACAUACAUCAUGGAACACUAUGCAGCCAUAAAAAAUGAACAAGAUCAUGUUCUUUGCAGGAAUGUGGAUGGAGCUUGAAGUCAUUAUCCUAAGUGAACUAACAUUGAAAAAGAAAACCAACUAUUGCAUGUCCUCACUUGUAUGUGGGAGCUAAACAUUGAAUACAUAUGCAUGCAAAGAAGGGAACAAGAGACAUCAAGGCCUACCUGGUGGUGGAGGGUGGGAGGAGGAUGAGGACGGAAAAACUGCCUUAUCAGUUACUGGGUUUAUUACCUGGGUGAUGAAAUAAUCUUUACCUCAAACCCCUGCGACAUGCAACUUACCUGUGUAACAAACCUGCACAUGUAUCCCUGAAGCUAAAAUAAAAGUUAAAGAUAAAAAAUUAAAAAAAAGAAAAUACUCCUUGAGAAUGAUGUGGGCAGUAGGGAAAAAAUUUGGGUUCAUUAUUGAAAAGCAAUAAUUUAUGCAUAA